AUAAUUGCAAAAAAUUACCCUACGCUGAUGCGCGAAAGGGAAUAGGCUUCUCUAUAGCUGUAUUAUAACAGACACAUGAAUGUUCAUAUGAGAUUUUGCAAUGUUUAAUUAAAUCAGUUCAAGAGAACAUACUCUUCCUCCCGAGUCCCGCCUUUACUUGAGGCUGUUUGCUACAUCAAUUACAAAGCGAUAUUUGACGUCCUUCUUUAUUAACCUUUCGAGUGCCUCAUUGACAUACUGAAUGGGGACUACCUCAAUUUCUGGAUAGAUUUUGUGGGAAGCACAGAAAUCCAGCAUUUCUUGUGUCUGCUUUGUUCCACCCGUUACACUCCCAACUAUGCUCUUCAUACCGAGGAUUAGGUUUCCAG
rnacentral:misc_RNA from 1 species